GCUGGAAUGGUCUAGUUGGUUAUGACGACUGCCUAACACGCAGUAGGUCCUGAGUUCGAUUCUCGGUUCCAGUA
rfam:Perkinsus marinus ATCC 50983 gcontig_1104296229130, whole genome shotgun sequence.